rnacentral:tRNA from 1 species
GCGGUCGGGGUGUUGCUGGCCAUCGGCGCCGUGGUGCUGGUGGUGCUGCUCGGCGCGGCCGCCCGGUCGACCACCCGGUUCCGCCGCCGGGCCAUCCGCG